ACAUAGGUAUUUAUAGACUAAUAAUUAGUCAUACUACGAUUGGGAAUUGGAAUUUGAAAAUAGGAAAAUACUAAACCAUUACAAAUUAAGAAGUUCUAAUCCUACUAUAACCUUUCAAACAUUCCUAAACAAUAAUAGAAUUCCUAAUAAUAAAAGCUUAAACUUCCUAUUAUAACAGAAACUCUGAAUGAAAGAUAUUAAUUUUACAAUUAAAAAUUAAA
rnacentral:misc_RNA from 1 species